rnacentral:tRNA from 1 species
GGAGCAGUACCCAAGCUGGUUGAAGGGACCGGUCUUGAAAACCGGCAGAAGGUUCACGCCUUGCGAGGGUUCGAAUCCCUCCUGCUCCG